rnacentral:rRNA from 1 species
UACGUAAGGGGCAAGCGUUGUCCGGAAUCACUGGGCGUAAAGCGCACGUAGGCGGUUUAGCAAGUUAGGGGUGCAAGCUCCAGGCUUAACCUGGAAACUGCCUCUAAAACUACUUCACUUGAGUAUUAGAGGGGAAGCUGGAAUUCACGGUGUAGCGGUGAAAUGACGUAGAUAUCGUGGAGAACACCCGUGGCGAAGGCGGGCU